CAGCCGCCGCGGGAAUACGGAGGGUGCAAGCGUUAAUCGGAAUUACUGGGCGUAAAGCGCACGCAGGCGGUCUGACAAGUCAGAUGUGAAAUCCCCGGGCUUAACCUGGGAACUGCAUUUGAAACUGUCAGGCUGGAGUCUUGUAGAGGGGGGUAGAAUUCCAGGUGUAGCGGUGAAAUGCGUAGAGAUCUGGAGGAAUACCGGUGGCGAAGGCGGCCCCCUGGACAAAGACUGACGCUCAGGUGCGAAAGCGUGGGGAGCAAACAGGAUUAGAGACCCCUGUAGUCCCUGUCUCUUAUAC
rnacentral:rRNA from 1 species